GGGCACUCUGGUUCUGGCUCUCCUGGACCAAUGACCUUGUGCUUUUUGCUUCUCCGUCUCCAGUGGCUGGCAAAGCGUCGCGUACACAGGAGAUGUUUCAUAAAUGCCUCUUGAACAAAUGAAUGCAUCAAGGAAUGCAUGAAGGAGUAAACUGGGUCUGGUAUUCAGGCUCGCACUCCAGCUGGUGGAGUAUCUGCGGGCGCCCAGAUGCAGGCCGGCCUGGGGCUCAGCCUGCACACCCCCAGGCAGCAGAGAAGGUGACGCUGGGCCUUCAGUGACAGGACCAGAUGUUCUUCCAAGGGAGAUCCCAACGGGUUCUGGAUCAAAGUCCUGCAGGCCUUGCCUACUUCUUCCGAAGACAGGACUCCGGGCAGAGGUGCUGCUUCAAGUCCAUGCCCAUGGCCACCGUGUAUGUGCCCGCCGCGUCUCACUAGGUUACCCGCAGAGCCGAGCGUGCCCAUUUUACAAGGAAGGAGAUGGAGGAGGCCAGCGUGGCAGGAGAAAGGCUGGUCACUGAGUCAUGGGGCCACCCAGCGUGAGAUUCUGCUGACUGUUACUUUCUGCGGAGACCCCGUUCUCCUUUGAACUUGGUGACACUUCUCUCUCCCCCUGGGUGCUUCCGCUUCUCUGCCCAUCCCCUUGGGUGUUGGUGGUCUCCGUCUUCCUCGUUCCUCUUCUUGCCAUCUGGGUUCUGCUGCAGCAAUCUCGAGAAGCCCCAAGGCUUGCUCCACCGUCUGUCUCCCCGCUGAAGACCAGGAAACCUGAGCUCCUCACGGGACUUCACCGUGAUGCGACCCUGC